AUUGAACGCUGGCGGAAUGCUUUACACAUGCAAGUCGAACGGUAGAGGGGGCAACCCCUCGAGAGUGGCGAACGGGUGAGUAAUAUAUCGGAACGUACCUUUCAGUGGGGGAUAACGUAGCGAAAGUUACGCUAAUACCGCAUAUUCUGUGAGCAGGAAAGCAGGGGAUCGCAAGACCUUGCGCUGAUUGAGCGGCCGAUGUCAGAUUAGCUAGUUGGUGAGGUAAAGGCUCACCAAGGCGACGAUCUGUAGCGGGUCUGAGAGGAUGAUCCGCCACACUGGGACUGAGACACGGCCCAGACUCCUACGGGAGGCAGCAGUGGGGAAUUUUGGACAAUGGGGGCAACCCUGAUCCAGCCAUGCCGCGUGAGUGAAGAAGGCCUUCGGGUUGUAAAGCUCUUUCGGCCGGGAAGAAAUCGCACAGGCUAAUACCUUGUGUGGAUGACGGUACCGGAAUAAGAAGCACCGGCUAACUACGUGCCAGCAGCCGCAGUAA
rnacentral:rRNA from 1 species